rnacentral:rRNA from 1 species
GGAAUCGCUAGUAAUCGUGGAUCAGAAUGCCACGGUGAAUACGUUCCCGGGCCUUGUACACACCGCCCGUCACACCAUGGGAGUGGGUUGCAAAAGAAGUAGGUAGCUUAACCUUCGGGAGAGCGCUUACCACUUUGUGAUUCAUGACUGGGGUGAAGUCGUAACAAGGUAACCGUAGGGGAACCUGCGGUUGGAUCACCUCCUUACCUUAAAGAAGC